UGGGGAAUAUUGCACAAUGGGCGCAAGCCUGAUGCAGCCAUGCCGCGUGUAUGAAGAAGGCCUUCGGGUUGUAAAGUACUUUCAGCGGGGAGGAAGGCGAUAAGGUUAAUAACCUUGUCGAUUGACGUUACCCGCAGAAGAAGCACCGGCUAACUCCGUGCCAGCAGCCGCGGUAAUAUCGGGGGUGACAAGCGUUAAUCGGAAUUACUGGGCGUAAAGCGCACGCAGGCGGUCUGUCAAGUCGGAUGUGAAAAUCCCCCGGGCUCAACCUGGGAACUGCAUUCGAAACUGGCAGGCUGGAGUCUUGUAGA
rnacentral:rRNA from 1 species